rnacentral:rRNA from 1 species
UACGUAGGGACCGAGCGUUAUCCGGAAUUAUUGGGCGUAAAGAGCUCGUAGGCGGUUUGUCGCGUCUGCCGUGAAAGUCCGGGGCUCAACUCCGGAUCUGCGGUGGGUACGGGCAGACUAGAGUGAUGUAGGGGAGACUGGAAUUCCUGGUGUAGCGGUGAAAUGCGCAGAUAUCAGGAGGAACACCGAUGGCGAAGGCAGGUCUCUGGGCAUUAACUGACGCUGAGGAGCGAAAGCAUGGGGAGCGAACAGG